rnacentral:rRNA from 1 species
GACGAACUGUCCUAACGUUGUUCGGAAUCGCUGGGCUUAAAGGGCGCGUAGGCGGUCCGACAAGUCAGGGGUGAAAUCUUGCAGCUUAACUGUAAAAGUGCCUUUGAUACUGUCGGUCUUGAGGGAAAUAGGGGUGUGCGGAACUUCCAGUGGAGCGGUGAAAUGCGUUGAUAUUGGAAGGAACGCCGGAGGCGAAAGCGGCGCACUGGAUUUCUUCUGACGCUGAGGCGCGAAAGCUAGGGGAGCAAACGGG